UACGUAGGCAGCGAGCGUUGUUCGGAGUUACUGGGCGUAAAGAGUGCGUAGGCGGUUUUCUAAGUUUGGUGUGAAAAUCUCCCGGCUUAACUGGGAGGGUGCGCCGAAAAACUGGAAGGCUUGAGUAUGGGAGAGGUAAGCGGAAUUCCUGGUGUAGCGGUGAAAAUGCGUAGAUAUCAGGAGGAACACCUGCGGUGUAGACGGCUUACUGGACCAUAACUGACGCUGAGGCACGAAAAGCGUGGGUAGCAAACAGG
rnacentral:rRNA from 1 species